rnacentral:rRNA from 1 species
UACGGGGGGAGCAAGCGUUGUUCGGAUUUACUGGGCGUAAAGGGCGCGUAGGCGGCCACUGCAAGUCGGUUGUGAAAUCUCCGGGCUUAACCCGGAAAGGUCAACUGAUACUGCAGGGCUAGAGUGCAGAAGGGGCAACUGGAAUUCUCGGUGUAGCGGUGAAAUGCGUAGAUAUCGAGAGGAACACCUGCGGCGAAGGCGGGUUGCUGGGCUGACACUGACGCUGAGGCGCGAAAGCCAGGGGAGCGAACGGG